rnacentral:lncRNA from 1 species
CAGCUAUGCUGGAAAGAGUCAGACCUUAUCUGCACUUCUGCAGAUAAGGCUGUCCUAGGCUCCACACCUGGAAUAUAAGUAAAACUGCUUACUUACCAGGUUUUUCACCAAAAAAUAAAAGUUGCUAAGAGUUAACAUCGUAAUAUGUUAUAUGUAAUUGAGACUACUAGAGAAACAGUUUUAUAUGCAAGGUGUGUAAGGAAAAUUGAAUAUGCUUUUGGUAAGAAGAUUAUAAGAAAGCAUGGGAAUGUGGACUUUCCCCCUACUUUAGAGGGUUAAAGGAUUGUUUCAAGUUAGGUAGGAUAAAGCUGAAGGUUUGAGC